GAUGAACGCUAGCGGCAGGCUUAAUACAUGCAAGUCGAGGGGCAGCAUGAUUGUAGCAAUACAAUUGAUGGCGACCGGCAAACGGGUGCGGAACACGUACACAACCUUCCAACAAGUGGGGGAUAGCCCAGAGAAAUUUGGAUUAAUACCCCGUAACAUAGCGAUGUGGCAUCACAUUGCUAUUAUAGAUUUCUCGCUUGUUGAUGGGUGUGCGGCUGAUUAGAUAGUUGGCGGGGUAACGGCCCACCAAGUCUACGAUCAGUAGCUGAUGUGAGGGCAUGCUCAGCCACACGGGAACUGAGACACGGGCCCGACUCCUACGGGAGGCAGCAGUAAGGAAUAUUGGACAAUGGACGCAAGUCUGAUCCAGCCAUGCCGCGUGAAGGAUUAAGGUCCUCUGGAUUGUAAACUUCUUUUAUAAGGGACGAAAAAGGGCUUUUCUAAGUCGUCUGACGGUACCUUAUGAAUAAGCACCGGCUAACUCCGUGCCAGCCGCCGCUGUAAUAC
rnacentral:rRNA from 1 species